rnacentral:rRNA from 1 species
AGAGUUUGAUCCUGGCUCAGAACGAACGCUGGCGGCAGGCUUAACACAUGCAAGUCGAGCGCCCCGCAAGGGGAGCGGCAGACGGGUGAGUAACGCGUGGGAAUCUACCCAUCUCUACGGAAUAACGCAUGGAAACGUGUGCUAAUACCGUAUACGUCCUUCGGGAGAAAGAUUUAUCGGAGAUGGAUGAGCCCGCGUUGGAUUAGCUAGUUGGUGGGGUAAAGGCCUACCAAGGCGACGAUCCAUAGCUGGUCUGAGAGGAUGAUCAGCCACACUGGGACUGAGACACGGCCCAGACUCCUACGGGAGGCAGCAGUGGGGAAUAUUGGACAAUGGGCGCAAGCCUGAUCCAGCCAUGCCGCGUGAGUGAUGAAGGCCCUAGGGUUGUAAAGCUC